CGGUCAGGCGAAGGGGGAAGGCAGAGGAAGCAUUUGCUACUUUUUGCUACUUUUACUCUGUGGACGUGAUUUUUCGGCCAAGCCUGAGGGAAGUGAGGAGUGAGCACUGAGGACACCUGGAGAAGAGGAGUCCAGGCUGAGGGAGCUGCCGUGCAAAGGCCCUGAGGCCAGCUUGUCCUUGAAGGGUGGAGAGAAGAACAGAGUCUCGGGUGGAGGAGGAGGGUGCAGAGGUCGUCGGGAGAGGACAAUGCUGAGAGCGAUGUGAUGAAGGGUCGGUCCCAUGGACCCUGGGAGCCAGACUCGAGCAUCAUGAACUUGUCUUCCUACGCACCCCAGCGAAGGCAGUGGCCCGGGGCAAAGACCGAAGGUCAAGUGCGUGUUGUUUUACGAGCCUGCAUCGGUUCACAAGACCGAAGGAUUCGAGCUGAAGGGGAUAGCAGCAAUGGGCACCUUGGUGGCUCGUUCGGUUAAGCAUCCAACUCUUGAUCUUGGCUCAGGUCACAAUCUUGCAGUUUGUGAGUUCAAGCCCCGUGUCAGGCUCUACGCUGACCCUGCGGAGCCUGCUUGGGAUUCUCUCUCUCUCCCUCUCUCUCUACCCCUCCCCCGCUCACUCAUGCUCUCUCUCUCUCAAUC